rnacentral:rRNA from 1 species
UACGUAGGGGGCAAGCGUUGUCCGGAAUCAUUGGGCGUAAAGAGCGUGUAGGCGGUUCGGUAAGUCGGCUGUGAAAGUCCAGGGCUCAACCCUGGGAUGCCGGUCGAUACUGCCGGACUAGAGUUCGGAAGAGGCGAGUGGAAUUCCCCGGUGUAGCGGUGAAAUGCGCAGAUAUCGGGAGGAACACCUAUGGGCGAAGGCAGCUCGCUGGGACGUUACUGACGCUGGAGACGCGAAAGCGUGGGGAGCGAACAGG